UUAUCGGAGAGUUUGAUCCUGGCUCAGGACGAACGCUGGCGGCGUGCCUAAUACAUGCAAGUCGAGCGGACAGAUGGGAGCUUGCUCCCUGAU
rnacentral:rRNA from 3 species